GAGUUUGAUCCUGGCUCAGAUUGAACGCUGGCGGCAUGCCUUACACAUGCAAGUCGAACGGCAGCACGGGAGCUCGCUCCUGGUGGCGAGUGGCGAACGGGUGAGUAAUGCAUCGGAACGUAUCCUGGAGUGGGGGAUAACGUAGCGAAAGUUACGCUAAUACCGCAUAUUCUGUGAGCAGGAAAGCGGGGGACCUUCGGGCCUCGCGCUCUUGGAGCGGCCGAUGUCGGAUUAGCUAGUUGGUGAGGUAAAGGCUCACCAAGGCGACGAUCCGUAGCAGGUCUGAGAGGAUGAUCUGCCACACUGGAACUGAGACACGGUCCAGACUCCUACGGGAGGCAGCAGUGGGGAAUUUUGGACAAUGGGGGCAACCCUGAUCCAGCCAUGCCGCGUGAGUGAAGAAGGCCUCGG
rnacentral:rRNA from 1 species